CUUUUACAAUGAAGAGUUUGAUCCUGGCUCAGGAUGAACGCUAGCUACAGGCUUAACACAUGCAAGUCGAGGGGCAUCAGGAAGAAAGCUUGCUUUCUUUGCUGGCGACCGGCGCACGGGUGAGUAACACGUAUCCAACCUGCCCUUUACUCGGGGAUAGCCUUUCGAAAGAAAGAUUAAUACCCGAUGGCAUAAUGAUUCCGCAUGGUUUCAUUAUUAAAGGAUUCCGGUAAAGGAUGGGGAUGCGUUCCAUUAGGUUGUUGGUGAGGUAACGGCUCACCAAGCCUUCGAUGGAUAGGGGUUCUGAGAGGAAGGUCCCCCACAUUGGAACUGAGACACGGUCCAAACUCCUACGGGAGGCAGCAGUGAGGAAUAUUGGUCAAUGGGCGCUAGCCUGAACCAGCCAAGUAGCGUGAAGGAUGAAGGCUCUAUGGGUCGUAAACUUCUUUUAUAUAAGAAUAAAGUGCAGUAUGUAUACUGUUUUGUAUGUAUUAUAUGAAUAAGGAUCGGCUAACUCCGUGCCAGCAGCCGCGGUAAUACGGAGGAUCCGAGCGUUAUCCGGAUUUAUUGGGUUUAAAGGGAGCGUAGGUGGACUGGUAAGUCAGUUGUGAAAGUUUGCGGCUCAACCGUAAAAUUGCAGUUGAUACUGUCAGUCUUGAGUACAGUAGAGGUGGGCGGAAUUCGUGGUGUAGCGGUGAAAUGCUUAGAUAUCACGAAGAACUCCGAUUGCGAAGGCAGCUCACUGGACUGCAACUGACACUGAUGCUCGAAAGUGUGGGUAUCAAACAGGAUUAGAUACCCUGGUAGUCCACACAGUAAACGAUGAAUACUCGCUGUUUGCGAUAUACAGUAAGCGGCCAAGCGAAAGCAUUAAGUAUUCCACCUGGGGAGUACGCCGGCAACGGUGAAACUCAAAGGAAUUGACGGGGGCCCGCACAAGCGGAGGAACAUGUGGUUUAAUUCGAUGAUACGCGAGGAACCUUACCCGGGCUUAAAUUGCAGUGGAAUGAUGUGGAAACAUGUCAGUGAGCAAUCACCGCUGUGAAGGUGCUGCAUGGUUGUCGUCAGCUCGUGCCGUGAGGUGUCGGCUUAAGUGCCAUAACGAGCGCAACCCUUAUCUUUAGUUACUAACAGGUCAUGCUGAGGACUCUAGAGAGACUGCCGUCGUAAGAUGUGAGGAAGGUGGGGAUGACGUCAAAUCAGCACGGCCCUUACGUCCGGGGCUACACACGUGUUACAAUGGGGGGUACAGAAGGCAGCUAGCGGGUGACCGUAUGCUAAUCCCAAAAUCCUCUCUCAGUUCGGAUCGAAGUCUGCAACCCGACUUCGUGAAGCUGGAUUCGCUAGUAAUCGCGCAUCAGCCACGGCGCGGUGAAUACGUUCCCGGGCCUUGUACACACCGCCCGUCAAGCCAUGGGAGCCGGGGGUACCUGAAGUACGUAACCGCAAGGAUCGUCCUAGGGUAAAACUGGUGACUGGGGCUAAGUCGUAACAAGGUAGCCGUACCGGAAGGUGCGGCUGGAACACCUCCUUUCU
rnacentral:rRNA from 1 species